rnacentral:lncRNA from 1 species
GGUGUUGGUUGCAUUUGGAUCCUUUUCUUUAUUUAUUUGAUGAUUAUAUUUGGUACUUAAGGACCGUCAACAACUCCCCCAAGCUUACCUCUUGCUCGUCCCUAAGCAAGGAUGGACUCAAGAGUUUCUGCAGUGGUUUUAUGCCUUAAAGGUACACAUGCGUUUAAACAAGAUAUUAUCUCUAGGUUAGGGUAAACUGUUAAGAUUUAAACUUACUCAUAUUACCUUCCACCAUGGGGCUUGCAACUGUCAGUUGUGUCUUGAGCAGUUAAAAGAUAGAACGGUCAAGUCAAGCGCCAUGUUUCUUAUUCUUGAUCAGCUAUAGCUCUGGAGUUUUUGUAGAUUUUCAAAUAAAACUCAGAGAUUCCUUGUAUGACACUCUCUACUCUCUCUUUUGUGGUAUUUCUGGAUCCUUACCAAGGCAGUGAUGAUAUACACCUUUCCUCAAAGUAUGUAGUAUUUGUGGUAUGAGGCAUAGUGAUAUUGCCUUCUCUCUCACCCUACUCUAAUAAGGUUUGAUAUCUGGAGCUCAUAGGUGGGAGACAGCUGAUACAUACUUACAAGACAUUUAUUGCAUAGUCAAACCAUGGAUCCAGAGAAACAAGUCAAUAAGUCAAAUCAAGAUGUGCAUGUGUGGCGAAUGAUUGGUGUAUGGUGAUAACUGUGAAAAUAAUGGUGAAAGUCUAAUUCUACUUUUGCUCUUUUGAGGGGAUACAUACCUUUCUUGUACUUUGAAGCUUUUUGAGGGGAAUGAGAUGCUCUAUAUUUUAUUUUUCUUUUCUCUCAGGUGGGUAUCUUGUACCCCUAAUUCUACUAUCGUACACUUGUCCAUUUUUACCUCUCGUCUCACUUUCUCUUUUCUUCGAGGUUUCGGCCACUUGCCCCUUUUUAUUUCCUCGUAUUAUUAUUUUUUUUUUCAGAGCACUCACCCUGCUAGAAUAAUGUAGCAAGUGGUAGUAACCAAAAUAUCAAGAGCAUUUAUUUCACGGGGAAAGGUAAAAUCGGUAAUUAUCCAUAUUUAUCCUUUCUACAUUCCCUUUUCCCUUUUAUUAUUUACUUUCCUUAAAUAGCUUGUUAAUUAAUCAUGCUAUCUUGAAAAGAAAUUAAAAAUGUUAAAAACAGUAAGCCCCAUGUGAGUAUGCUCGUGGCAUAAAACCCAUAAGUACGUUCACUGUGGUGGCGUAAAAAUAAAAUAAAUAUAUUCCUAUCAUAUAAAAAUGAAAAUAUAAAAAUAAAUUUAUGAUCCUACCAAAGAGAGUAAUAUUUAUUGGAGGAGGCUCAACAUGAUAAAGGCUAGAUAUUUAUGCUAACACUUAACUAGUUCCACAAAGCUUUAUUGUCUAUUUGAGCUCCACAGAAUUCAAGGAUCAAAGAAGACUAGCAGACGGAGGACGUCCUAAUCGCUGUGAGGGUACUGCCGACAUUCAAAUACACCUCCACCACCUGCUAGCUACAUCAGAAGAAAUUACGUCAAAAUCCAGCUUGGGGGAGAGCACCCCCAUUUAUCCAGCUAAGUGUUUCUACUCGCAUUUAUACUUUAGUCAAAUAAUAAAAAGAUGCAUAAUCAGAAAAACCCAAAUAAAGAUUUUUGUGCUUAUAUAUAUCUUUGCUUAGUUUGCUAAAUAAAUAAAUAAAUGAAGUUUGCUAUGAACCCUCAUGAUAAGCUCUCACAUAGAAAUGAUGAAUAGUUGCUCUGCCAUGACUAGUUCUCAAAAUUGAAAUCUCUCUCAAGUUUAGUAUCUAAAGUCUAAGUCGUUGACGGAUAUGAUAUGGGAAGGUUGAGCUGCUAUUUAUCUAUUCCUAGAGAUGCUAGAAUUUUGGAGAAUUUUAUCUUUGAAAAUCUUUAAAAUGUUGCAUGAUGAGUUCUUGUAUGAUGAGAGUUUAAAAUCCUACCACAGCCACAUAUACAUGCUUAUUAGACUAUGAACCAUACAUUUACUUUUUACUAAUUAUGAGCAUUGAGUGUGGUCAAGCUGUGUAGACCCUUAGGAGCUUGUCAUGCGGUUAAAAUCAAAAUUCACUUGCACGUUCACUAAUACAUGCUGCUUCUACUCCGAAAGUACGCAUCCACAUACAUCCACUCAUUUCCAUCUCCAGAUUCACCCAAAAUUAUUCUACUCCUAUCCAAGAGAGAAUAGCCAAAAACAUUAUCUUAUCCCUGUUAUUCCCCGUGAAAUAAAUGCUCGAGGUAUUUUGGUUACUACCACUUGCUACAUUAUUCUAGGAGGGUGAGUGCUCUGAAAAAAAGAAGAAAGAUACGAGGAAAUAAAAAGGGUCAAGUGCCCGAAACCUCGAAGAAAAGAAAAAGUGAGACGAGAGGUAAAAAUGUACAAGUGUCUGACAGUAGAAUUAGGGGUACAACAUACCCACCUGAGAGGAAAGAAAAAAAAUAAAUAAUAUAGAGCAUCUCAUUCUUCUCAAAAAUCUUCAAAAGAGCAAGAAAGGUAUGUAUCCCCUCAAAAGAGGAAAAAGUAGAAUUAGACUUUCACCAUUGUUAUCACCAUACACCAUUCAUUCGCCACACAUACACAUCUUGAUUUGACUUAUUGACUUGUUUCUCUGUAUCCAUGGUUUGACUAUGCAAUAAAUGUCUUAUAAGUAUGUAUUAGCUUUCUCCCACCUAUGAGCUUCAGAUAUCAAAACCGUAUUAGAGUAGGGUGAGAGAGAAGGCAAUGUCACUAUGCCUCAUACUACAUAUACCAUAGGCUUUGAGAGAAGGCAUAUACCAUCACUGCCUUGGUAAGGAUCCAGAAAUACCACAAAAGAGAGAAUUGAGAGAGUCAUACAAGGAAUCUCUAAGUUUUAUUUGAAAACUUGCAAAAACUCCAGAGCUAUAGUUGAUCAAAGAACAAGAGACAUGGUGCUUGACUUGACCGUUCUAUCUAUUAACUGCUCGAGACACAAGUGACGGUUGCAAGCCCCAUGGUGAAACGUAAAAUGAGUAAGUUUUAAGUCUUAACAGUUUACUUUAACUCAGAGAUGAGAUCUUGUUUGAACGCAUGUGUACCUUUAAGGCAUAAAACCACUGCAGAAACUCUUGAGUCCAUCCUUGCUUAGGGACGAGCAAGAGGUAAGCUUGAGGGAGUUGUUGACGGUCCUUAAGUAUCAAAUUUAACUAUAAAAAAAUAAAGAAAAGGAUCCAAAUGCAACCGACAUCCAGACUUAGGGUUUUAUCUGACAGAAUUCCACGAGUUUUGGUGUUUGUCUAUUUCUACAGGGGGUUAUCAGGAAUUAUGGAAGAAAGGCCCACACGUCGGGUUUACAUAGAGAUAUUAACGUGCCGCGCAAUUUUCUAUCAUCUAGAAGACUCCAGAAGCCACAGGAACGAACGGGAAGCCGAGCAGGCUCGGGGGCCGGGCGCCCACCCUCCCCCCUUGGGCGCCCGCCCAGCUACAGAGUCCAAUCAGGACUCGUUUCGUAGAUUAUGCUCCACUGACCUAAUGGAUCAAGAAUAACCGUUCAAUCAAUGUCGGUUUGAUCCGACGGCCCAGAUUCACUUGAGGGGACUAUAUAAGCAGACCCCCUAGCCCCUGGAGGAGGCACCCCUUGAUCAUUAUUCAUUAUUCAUAGACAGAGCAAAAGCUAGGGUUUGGUGAUGAGAGCUCUCCUCUCUUCUCUAAACUAGAGUAGAUCUAGAUAGUAGCGAGAUGGAGAGCGAGGGUGGAUUGGAGGAGAGGCCGGCCUUUCGGUUCUUACUCCCGUUGUACUUCGUCAUGAUCAAGCUCUAAUCGAGCUUGCUCAUGGGAUGACUCUGGUAAUCUACUUCUAAUUCAUUAUGCAAUUACUAAUCAUGUAUGUUCUGGUUCACAACUCUUUAUUGAGUACUUUAAUCUAUAGGACGCUAUAGGUGAGAGUUGUAAUAUAGGUGUAAGCGUGGUGCUUAGACCUAGAUUACUUGUGGAUAUCCCCUGUCUAGCUGGAUCGUGUGGUAGGCCGCGUAGGUGACAGUUACAUUGGUCCCCUGUAGUCCACCUCUUAUUAGCAGGACGGGUAGGGUUUAUCGGCCUAUGGAUAAGCAUCCUUUGUGGUGUAUUCUUAUCACGUGGUUCGUCCCACACAUAGACAUGAACCUUUGAAGUAGAGAAAUCAUAGUUAUCCUCUCUAUUCUCCUACCAUCGCCCAUAUAUUAGAUUGCUCUACUCUCUAUUCCCAUAUUAUCACCAAUUGUUAUCUUACCUUUAAUAUUGUUAUUAUUUAAUUCUACCAUCUUUCCUAUUUACACCUAUCUAUCUAUCUUGGUUAAGUUAGAGCGUAGUUGGUUCUCCUGUUUCCCUGUGGAUACGAUAAAACCUUUAACCGGGUAAAAGCUACAAUGGUAUUCGUGCGCUUGCGGAUUUAUCUGUGUGCGUAUAAAUACCAUAGUACACUCUAGUGCCAUGCUGGGGAUGACAACCUAGUAUUCAAGUGGUGUUAGCAAGUGUCAACAGUAGACAGAAGCGGGCAUCACACUGACACUUGCUCCAAGGUCACAGAGUGCAUUGUUGAAAUGUUGAUCUCCAAUUGUGCAUUCGAUAGUCGGACAUCCUGGAUCCAUUUUCUUUUCUGGUAACUUGUUGAGGAUGGCCGCACUAUAUUCUUCUAUGAGCUUGAUUACUUCAGUGGAAUGUAGAGGUCUGUUCUUGUUGAGAAUGUCUCUAAUGUACUUGGCAUAUGUAGGGACCUCUAUGGCAUUUAACAGAGGUAUGUUGAUCUAUAAUUUUUGAAGUACCUCCAUGAACUUACUAAACUGCUCAUCUACUUGUUGUGGUCUUCUAUUCUGACGACGAAAUGGUAGGUAAUUGGUGUCUUGAAAAUCUUGUCUCAUCUCGUGGUCUUGGACCGGUUGUGGUAGUGUGUCUUUAAGAAUGUUGUUCUCAUUGUGCACCAUUGUUCGUAAUGUUGACGGCAUUGGCAAUGGUCUUUUGGUACCUUUUGGGUAGGGAGGAUCUUUGGUAGAACUUCCUCUUCUUGUAGUGAUAUUCUUUACCUGCUCAGGGUUAUUGGCAACAAGCAACGCAGCAGCCAACUGUGCUAUUUUUGCUUCUAUCUUUUUAUUAUACUCAAGUUGGGCAUUAAUGGCAAAUGAGAAACUAUCCAUUUUUUAUCAUUAUUAGCAAGCCUAGCUAUAAUGUCAAGGUUGAUUUUAGAUUGCUACAUAAUUAUCUCUCUUAAAGAAGUUGCUUUGUAAAAUUACCUAAAUUCAUACCUUGGCUAUUUUGAUGUUGUCUCCAAGUUGGUUGAUGUGGAAUUUUCCUGAUGGUAGGACUUGUAACAGAACCGCCCAAUUCACAAGAGAUCAACUAUGAAAAACUCCCGCCAAAGCAGUCGCUUUAACAUAAUCGAAUUCUCAUAAACCCGGUAGUCCGUGAAAUCACGAGGGAUUUCAAUCCAACCAUCUUACAAGCCAUGAUCUUACUCCUCUAAUAUGGUACGAGUCAUCCAACUCUUGCAGUGGCCAUGAUACAUCACAACCUGCAACAAGUGGGAAUAAACCCUGAGUACGAGAAGGUACUAAGCUAGACUUACCCGUCAUAAACUAGAAAUAAUAUGACACCAAGGAGUAUGCAAGGCUUUAUUGGUGGAGCUAGCUUGACAACACUUUUUCCAUAAAAAGCUUAAGUUGUAACUAAGUAACCUUUCAGGUAUUUAGCUCAAGUUAAUAAUCAUUAACCUAUCAUCUAGAUUAGCACCUGUACUAAAGCAAUCACUUGAUUAAGAUACAACCAUAGUACCCAUAUUUGUUGUGGCAUUACCAACAUCAUCAUACCAUAACCAUCCAAGUGUUCCAUAAACAUUACUACGACGACAAAGCUCAAGUCAAGUGCUCACUGUCCAGGAGCGAUGGCGAUUCGAAUCGAUUUCUAACCAGCUGGCGAGUUUAUUCCCCACACAAACCACACUCACUGAUCAAGUGAGCUAUAGAUCACCGUAUUGCACUAUCCAGGACCAAUUCGCGGGUUCGACAGGCACCGCCCGUACCCGAGGACCGUUCCGACGACCGAGGUAUCCAAGGUAUACCAAGGUUGCGCGUCGCGCCCUCGUCGUUCACCUCAACCAUCACCAAUACAGCGCGUACAUCGGGCCGAUUCCCGGCCCGGAUAGUGCUCAGGCUUCACGGUCGGAAUGACUUAUCCUUCCACCUAAGUGUGGGCCAUGCGUUCAACAUGACAAGAGGGCCGUCAACGAUCGGUCCUUAAUCGACACAGGCGGGGAUAGAUAGGCACCCAAGACCUCCAUGUCUUGUUACUUCUCUAUCAUCGUCCCGCCCGGUCUCCAAUUACUCAUCCUCAUCACUUGGUUAUUUCCAUGAUAGCAUAUAUAGCCAACCUUUUCAGGUAUCCACCUAUCUCGCUCAGGUGACAGGACAUCACCUGGCUUCUACCGGUCUAAGCAUGACUAAGCAUUUAGAUUCGAUCCCGAAUCUACAUAGGGUUAUAGGUAUAUUUGCUGGACAAGGAGUGAUAUAUGCAGCAAGGGUUUCACCGAACUCCUAUACUUAAUGCAACAAUACAUAUAUAACAUAUAUUCUCAAUUGCAUUCAAAAGUAGUGGGAGACUUAUAAUGCUCGGGGGCUUGCCUGGAAUCAUCACUGAGUUAGUUCAGUUAGUUGCUCCGUCUUGGUGACAUCUAAGGUCACAACACUUGCUUAGUCCUUCCACCUUUAGGGUGGGUCCACCCAACACCGUCUUCGGGUUUGUUGCCACACCAAGACCUUCACGUGAUUUAUCUAGCGCACCUAGAUGAGAUGCAAGAUGCAAGUGCGUGAAUAUAAAGAAUAAUAACACAACAUGCAACACAUAAAAGUAUGCAAGACAUAGGUAUCUAAAGUUAUUUAGAUAACAUCACACAACCAGUUAUAUAGAGCAAACAUAUCAAUCAUGACACAAGUUUAACAAGUUUACAAGUGUAUUACUUAGUCACCAUUAUAGACAUGAAUCAUACUUAGAUCACACAAAGUAAAGCAAUCAAGCAUUCAUGUAUUUCAGCAAUUCUGGACAUCAUGCAACAACUCAGUAAAUAAAUCAUAACUGGAGUUACACAACUCCAAAAACUAUGCAAUAGGACAUUCUGGAAAGAUUAUCAAAUUAUCUACAAUUCAUCUUUAAUCAUAUUAGCAUGAUUAACAAGUUAACGAUGUCAAACAUGCAUGACCAUAUAAUCUGGUCCAGGAACUUCCAGAGAACAAGCAUUUCAAAGGAUGAACUUCAUACUACUGUAACUCAUAAACCACUUAUCUGAAUGAGAUGAAAAUUUACCACAAUAUAAAUUAGUGAAUUAUCUACAUCUUUUCUAUAUACAAGUUUCACAGCAAACAUCAUUUAUAUCAUGGAAUUAAUCGCAUAACUAAAACUGCUCAUGCUGCCAAACAGUAGAGGUACAAUUACACAUAGAAAACUGAUUGUCACUUCAAAGCAGCAUAACUGGAGUUGUAGACCUCCAGCAAACAUGAUUCUUAUAUCUUUGGAAAGCUUAUAACGUUACCUACAACUUUCUUAUUAUCAUCUAAAUAUGAAUCUACAGUUAACAAGGUCAAUUAAUCCCAUGAAGAUAUCUCUGUCCAAAACAUAGACAGAAUCUGUCAUGCUACAUUAAACACCCAUAACUUGAGUUUCACAUGUCCAUAAAUUAUGGUUAUAUACUUUCUAGAAACCUUAAUUAAUUGUGAACAACUUUGUUAUAAACAUGUAUAGCUAAAUCUACAACUAAAAAGGUCUUACUUUACAAACAAUGCAACCUGUCUGGGUUUAGACAGAAACUGGAACAAUAAUUUAAACCACUAUAACUAAACAUGUGCUUAACCAAAAAUUGUGCUAUAUACCUUUCUGGAAAGCUUAUGAAAAGUACUAUAACUUAUAUAUUUUCAUUAAGGCAUGAUUCACAACUUAACUGAGCCAAACAAUACAAACAUGCAGACCUAUUCAGAAUAGGAGCAAAGCAACAAAGGGCAGUUGUUAUUUUUAGAACUCUUAAUCUAUCAAUCCUAAAAUCAUGAAAAGUUUACCAGACAUCAAGCAUCAUAUGAAAAGCAUGUCACAAUAUUUUCACAUUUAUUUGGGCAAUAACACAGCAGUUAUGAAAAAGAAAAUUAUAACAAGCAAUUAAAACCUAACUGCUUAAAUCUAUUUUUACGACUAAAACUUCAAACAAAACCAUGACAUAUUAUAGAUCUAAUGCAUAGAGAAUUUUAUAAGGAUUCCAAAAAGUCUACAUUUGCUAUUUUUCAAAUUUUCUAUGAAUUACUAUACAUUUCCAAAGUUCAUACAAGAAAUCUGCAAAAACAAAAGAUAAAGGAAAACAACUUUGCAUCGGGAACCCUAAACUUUAUCCGAAUCAACCCGCCGUCCAGAGCAGAGUCUUGGCUUCGCAUCUGGAACCCUGAGGUUUACCCUAUUUCCACCCGAGGUCCUCUGUCUUCUUCCUGUGAGUGACUGGACGAACAGGUUACGAACCGUAACAGCAUCCGCAUUGGCCAUGGCCAAGCACGGCAGGGAAGGGCACCACGGCGGCGCAGCGAUGACCAGCGAGGCAAAGGCAACCUCAAUGUCGCGCGCGGCAACUCUGGCCUGCCCAGCAGUGCUCGGUGGCGGCAGUAGGCGAAGCCAUGGCGGCGGUGGCGUGGUUCUUGGCCAGGGAGCGAGCGAAGGAGAUGGGGAUGAAGCUGAGGGAGUAGAGGAGACCGGGGAGGGCACUCUGGUGCUCGUCGGGUCAUCCCCAUCCACACAGAUAGAGGCAAGGGCGAGGUGGAGGUGGCAGCCAUGGUGGGACAAGUUCUGCUGCAUGGUGACCACGUCGUCAUUUCGUCAAACACGUGGCGGAUAGCAAGGUAGAGAAGGUGGGACGCCGGUUUGAGCCACUUCUGGGCCGAAUUGGACCUUGGGCCAAAGUGGAGGUUUGUUCAUCUCGCCGUGCUCUAUAACUUUGAUUAAGAGACCAAGGUCAUUAGACCAAAAGAUUAGGAGAUAACUUGAUGUCAAGUCACGAGUGUCAACGUAUUGACGGUGAUUAGCAAAACCAAUAAUUGAUGGUCCAAACCUUGUCAAACAUGAUGCAACUUUUCACAUUACCUUCUCCAAGUAAUUGUCCACCACUUUUAUUCUUGGACUAACUUGAGUUGCUUAACAAAAACACGAGAACGCGGCAUGCCAACGGGUCAAUGUCCGUUUAGCAAUAAAAUAACUUUUUGCUGUUUUGGGAGCUACUUUUAGAUAUCCAAAUGAACUCCAAAUUUGAUGAUACUUGAUCCAUUGGUUUCAUGAAGAAGAGUACUCCAACUCAUAUUAAGGAAUCUAAUUGAGUUACCAUAUGAAUUUGGAUAAUAAAAUGUCACAAAGAAGCUAACUUGCUGCUGUACUUCCAAGGACUUAGAAUUAUUUUUCAGGGCUAAAAAGCAGCAACUGAUUCGAACUUUGAGCCUCUGUUUGAGCUAUUUUAAAACUGAUUUUUUUCUUGACUCUUGAAUGAAGUUUCUUCUACAGAAGCAAAACUACAACUUUUAUUUAGGGUCAAACCUCAUAACUGCAACAGAAGUCAAUCUUUCACUUUGGUCAAUGCAGUAACCCGAUAAAGCUCCAAAUAGGAUUUUAGGCCAAUUGAAGCAUUUUCUUGACAUAAGCUCAACAUGAAUCCUUCAUGACUUUUGUUGUAUAAUUCAUCUAGAGUCAUAUGAGCAAGUUUGGAAGGUUUGGUUCAUGACCCAUGAUUCUAUUUCCUUAAUAGAGUCAUUCCAACAAGGAUAUAACUCAUCAUUUCAUGUGACUUCUUGAUUCCAAACUUCACCAAACUUUUCUAGAGACCAAUAUAGAUUGGGAUGGAUAUGAGACACAUGAAAAAUGUUCCACUAACACCAUCCAAGCAUACCUUUCAAAAAGAGCAUAUAUGUAAGUAAAGGUGCAUCAUCCAAGUCCAAGUUAGGGCUUACUUUCAUAGAUUGACUUUGACCUUUUUAUUGCCAUUGAACUUGUCAUGUUUGAGCUCAAACCUAGUACUUACCAAGUGACAAACACCUGGGGUGUUACAGCCUUCCCUCCUUAAAAGAAUCUCGUCCCGAGAUUCGGUGCAAAAGACUUGCAAGGGAAGAAAACAAUGUCACACAUUUUCCAACAUUAACGAUAGAAGUGGGUGACUUAGCUUAGAGCAUCAGAAAAGCUAACUUGAUCCAAACAUUUUCUGAUACUUGCCCUUCAUAGUAAACCUUUAUCUGGAGAAUCUCCUCUUUUGUUUGACUUCAGUGAAGCAUUGUUACAUUGGGAGGAAUCCAAGACAACACUGUUCCAUGUACUUUGUUCCUAGUUGUUUAUAGCAUAAGGGGCUACUUGUACCAUUAGCUUCUUUAGUGAAACUAAUGCAAGCCAUAUGAACUUCACACCAGGUCACAAGCCUCUAAGGGUUGCUCAUUAUAGAGGUUCCAGGCUCAUUCACAAGAUUUGAAAAGCAGCCCUCUACCAACAUGGUUGGAUUACAACUUUCCACGCAUGCAGUUCUCUUUCUCUGAUGACAACAUUGUACUUACCACCUGGUUAAGAGAACGGUGAAUGUGAUAGCUGACUCUGUUGGUUUCACGCCUUCCAUGAUCAUUUACUUUAAUGGGAUUCUUGUAUCCAAACAACAACAGUUAUUUAGGUCGGAUCAGAUGUAACUUCUUGGGCAAUACAUAGAAGGUAACCAAGGCAUGUAAGAAUUAGAUAACCACUACUGACAAAGGAUGAUAGUGGGGCCUAUAGGUCUUCAACUGCUGCAAGUGUUCAACCAACUAAAGAAAUAAUUUACCACCAAGUAGGUUAAGCAUUACCUUUCUUCAUGAUGCAGUUGCAUAAGAGUUAGGUUGACUUGUUCCAUAGCAAAACCAAUCCAUUGGAACUACUUUUCCCUUUAUGGCUUCCUUUUUAGGAUCAGUCGGUAGCUCUGAUAUUGAAAAUCUAUUGAUUGACACCUUUCCAAAUGUUUCUAGCUCACACUAGCACAACUGGGUACAAAGAAUCUUGUUUCAUCAUAUAAGCACUAUCUAUACAGCAAGACAUUGCCCAUAUUGUAAUCUAUGGCACCAAAACAAACACCACUCACAUUUCCAUGAAAUUUGGUAGAAUUAUUCAUCCAUGAGUCUUCCAACCUUUGAUCAAAAUUCAGCUCAAACGGGCACCAUUUGUGUAGGUAGAACAUAUACAUACUAAACUUGUUUGAUGCUGAAACGGCAGUGUUCCGUUCCGGACUGCCAAGACAUCUCUCAACUCUAAAGAUUGAUUCACUAGUUGAUGAAAUAUAUCCUUCAUGGCUAUCAAUCCAUCGUUUCCUUGCUUGAGAUUAGCCUUGUUACUAGCAACCAAUCCAUUGGCUCUCAGCACUAAAAUUUCCAAAGCUCCACUCUUAACCACAAUAAUUGCGGUUGACGCUUAACCAUUAGUCACCCUCAAAGAUAGGAGAUAAGGAUUCAUGAUAAAGAAGGAUGACUUUAGUUGUAUCACCAUGAUGCACAUAAAGAUCAAGACUUAGGAAAACUAGAUCAUAAGCACAAUGGUGAUGACUGAUGCUUGUUCAAAAAAUAACUUGUCCAACAUUAAGUGUCGUGCGUCCUUUGAUUCGGCGUCGAUGACCAAUGUUGCUCAUUAAAUGACCAUCAUCAUUGUAGGAAUAGUUAAAUAGUAUCACUUGUCUACCAUCUCUUAUAGUCUGUUAAUGUUUAUGUCAGUGUCCUGUUCUUCAAAGGUAAUCCUCUUUGUAACAUCAUAGGAAGUUCUCUUACUUGCACGUGAAGUAAGGAUCUUCUGAUCAAAUCUAGAUAGAUAAUUAAGGACAAACUCAUGAUGAGAUGACACAUUGGUGUAGUUCUAUAAUAGAGCGUGGCUAGCAACAACGAUACCAGUGCGUGCCGAGCAGCACAACCAUGUGUCGGCCGCCACAAGGGUCUCUCGGUUUCGUCACGGCACCGUUAAUCAUUAACCAAGACACCAUUACCGAACAUACAAUCCAAAAGAAAUCUGUCAUGGCAAAAAUUGAGUUACAUAGCAGCGAGCACUUUACAAAAGAGGGGUAUCAAACUGAGAUAGUCAUAAGAUUAGAGGUCCACAAGGAGGUGAUUUAAAGAUUAAACAUAGUACUAGAGAACAUAGAUCACAUGAGAUUAAGACGGAUAAACACCUAGAGACUCAAGAGAGUUGGAGAUAAAACAAUUGAGAUUUGAAAGAUUGAGUCAAUACACAGAUUAGGGGAUGGAUACACAACAUUCAAGAGCUAACAACCAUGCACAAACUCAAGCUCUUUAUCAUUGGAAUCUACUUGGAGAUAACCAUGAGAUUAAAGUGACAUGAGUGUUAUUCUAAGAUAAGGCUCUUCAAUACUCGCAUGCUUACUAAGGACAAAAAGGUAACAACUACGACACUACCUGAUUAACAACACAUCUACUCAUGCAUCAUGGUUUUAAACAAACAUGUGAGAACAUGAAUCACACUAUCUCCAACAAUCGUUACUAAGCACAAGGUUUUGUAGAUAACAAGCAGACAUCUAAAGCAACACUAGUACACGUGAACAUACAAAACAUGGUGGUAAGGUGUUUUUAUCUUUCACUUUCUUUUACUAGAAAGGUGUAUGUCUCUUCUCUAGUUGUGAAAACAAAUUUUUAACUUAUGCUUAAAAGACUAGUCAUCUUAGAGAUGUGGAUCAUACUGACAGGGUGCACAGAUCAACCACAACAUGAGCAAAACAAAGCUAAUCACACCUUAUCUUCAAUUAUAGCUAUUCAAGAAACAUGGAGCAAAGCAUUGUAUCUAACUGCACACAAGCAAGGUGACACACAUUGAUUCACAAGUUAUUUAUUACUAGAACAAGGGUGAGAGAAGCAUAGUUAUACAUAAGGCAACAAUCAUGAUAAUGCAUGCUUCGUCCUAUUCGUCCUCACAAAAUUGCCAGCCUAAGGUGGCAAUCACGUUCUAUGUCGGUGGCAUAACACGUACACUCUCGACAUAUAGCUAGUCGUAAUAUUCAAUUUACGCAUCCGUGGUUAGUGUACCUGCAGAAAAUUCAUUUCAGCCCACCCACAGUAUGAAACAUGCAGUACAAGAUUAAAAAGCUAUGCGCUCCACACACGUGUAUCCCCAUACCCGUAUGUGUAGUGUUACUACCCACAUCAUCGUCCUAGUGAUGGCAUCGCCUCUAAGGACGGAAUCACCCAUCAUGCUAUCACAACUCACACUUACUGAGGCGUAGAGGAAAAAUGAUCCAUACAUUACCAUUCAAAUGAAUGGCACUCAUACUAUUGCACGCCGUAUGAGCAACGAAAUAGAAAUAUGAUGCAGAAACCCCCAAGUCAGUACUUAAAUAAGCCACCUAAGGAUCCUUAAUUGGGCAUAAAGGAAAUGACCACUGGCAUACUUAGAUAAAACCUUUUUAGAUUUGAACACACCUUUAUCUAUAAUAGCUAUAAGUUGUCAAAAACUGAUUUAAUAAAACAAAAUCUUUUGUUUUAAAUACACAUAUGACAAAUUUAAUGUUGAACCUUGCUCUGAUACCAGCUGUAACAGAACCGCCCAAUUUACAAGAGAUCAACUAUGAAAAACUCCCGCCAAAGCAGUCGCUUUAACAUAAUCGAAUUCUCAUAAACCCGGUAGUCCGUGAAAUCACGAGGGAUUUCAAACCAACCAUCUUACAAGCCAAGAUCGUAGUGAUUCAACAUAACAAGUCACAUGUUACAUCCAUUUCACAAGUAUUUUGAUAUACAUCUGAGUUCAAUGUAGUUAUUACAACUUGAGUUGAAAAGUAGCGAAAGCAAGUAAUUUGAAACUAAUAUUGCCCUCAUUUCAAAUACAUGCCAGUAUCUAGGUCAACUCCAACAAAAACAACAUAGAUGAGGUAACUAAGAAGGAUCAUGCCCAUGAUCUUACUCCUCUAAUAUUGUAGGAGUCAUCCAACUCUUGCAGUGGCCAUGAUACAUCACAACCUGCAACAAGUGGGAAUAAACCCUGAGUACGAGAAGGUACUCAGCUAGACUUACCCGUCAUAAACCAGAAAUAAUAUGACACCAAGGAGUAUGCAAGGCUUUAUUGGUGGAGCUAGCUUGACAACACUUUUUGCAUAAAAAGCUUAAGUUGCAACUAAGUAACCUUUCAGGUAUUUAGCUCAAGUUAAUAAUCAUUAACCUGUCAUCUAGAUUAGCACCUGUACUAAAGCAAUCACUUGAUUAAGAUACAACCAUAGUACCCAUAUUUGAUGUGGCAUUACCAACAUCAUCAUACCAUAACCAUCCAAGUGUUCCAUAAACAUUACUACGAUGACGAAGCUCAAGUCAAGUGCUCACUGUCCAGGAGCGAUGGCGAUUCGAAUCGAUUUCUAACCAGCUGGCCAGUUUAUUCCACACACAAACCACACUCACUGAUCAAGUGAGCUACAGAUCACCGUAUUGCACUAUCCAGGACCAAUUCGCGGGUUCGACAGGCACCGCCCGUACCCGAGGACCGUUCCGGCGACCGAGGUAUCCAAGGUAUACCAAGGUUGCGCGCCGCGCCCUCGACGUUCUCCUCAACCAUCACCAAUACAACACGUACAUCGGGCCGAUUCCCGGCCCGAAUAGUGCUCAGGCUUCGCGGUCCUAACGACUUAUCCUUCCAGCUAAGUGUGGGGCAUGCGUUCAACAUGACAAGAGGGCCGUCAACGAUCGGUCCUUAAUCGACACAGGCGGGGAAAGAUAGGCACCCAAGACCUCCAUGUCUUGUUACUUCUCUAUCAUCGUCCCGCCCGGUCUCCAAUUAUUCAUCCUCAUCACUUGGUUAUUUCCAUGAUAACAUAUAUAGCCAACCUUUUCAGGUAUCCACCUAUCUCGCUCGGGUGACAGGACAUCACUUGGCUUCUACCGGUCUAAGCAUGACUAAGCAUUUAGAUUCGAUACCGAAUCUACAUAGGGUUAUAGGUAUAUUUACUGGACAAGGAGUGAUAUAUGCAGCAAGGGUUUCACCCAACUCCUAUACUUAAUGCAACAAUACAGAUAUAACAUAUAUUCUCAAUUGCAUUCAAAGGUAGUGGGAGACUUAUAAUGCUCCGGGGCUUGCCUGGGAUCAUCACUAAGUUAGUUCAGUUAGUUGCUCUGUCUUGGUGACAUCUAAGGUCACAACACUUGCUUAGUCCUUCCACCUUUAGGGUGGGUCCACCCAACACCGUCUUCGGGUUUCUUCCCACACCAAGACCUUCACGUGAUUCAUCUAGUGCACCUAGAUGAGAUGCAAGAUGCAAGUGCGUGAAUAUAAAAAUAAUAACACAACAUGCAUCACAUAAAAGUAUGCAAGACAUAGGUAUCUAAAGUUAUUUAGCUAACAUCACACAACCAAUUAUAUAGAGCAAACAUAUCAAGUCCGAUUAGUUCAAGAGAUAGAAAGUGCUAUGUAGUUCUAAUUUAUCAAGUCAUUCAUCUACUCUAAUGCUACAUUAUCAUAUAUAGCACAAAAGGCUCUUCAUUUAUGUAUAAGGAACAUUGCUAUAAAAUGCUAAGGCUGAGCUAGACUUCCUACGCAACUUCGGUUCUACCUGUCCUACCAACGGGGGAUAAAAUACAAAGGACUCAAUGGAACUAUCACUUCCACGAUUGUUGACACUUCUAACACUAGUUAAGCUAAGUUGUCAUCCCUAGCAUGGCGCUAGAAGUGUGGUAUGAAAACUAUCCACUAAUGAAAUAAAUAUAGGAUCCGCAAGCAUACAGAUUAAAUACCAUUUUAGCACUUCAUCGGGAAGUAUUCCAGGUAUCAUUAUUUAUAUUUAGCUCAAGGGACAGAACUAAGGAUUUAACAAUGAGAUCAACUUGCAAAACAUGACUAGUUAUGAGUGAUUGGGUUGCAUAGUCACAUACUUAGUAGGAGGGUAAACCAUAGAUAUAUAAUAUGUAAAAUAUAGAAGCCCAGGGUGUGACGCCCUAGGUGUUAAGCAUGCACUUAGUCUCAUAAACUACCCAUAAUCAUUCUCAUCAAGCAUGGGCAUAAGCAUGGCAUCAUUUGAGCAUGAUAGCAUUUAAAGUAUGACUUUAUGUGUUUAAUUUAAAUGGAUUUAAUUAUGAUAAAAUAAAUAUGCUUGCUUCAAAAUAUGCUUGUGAUGACCAAAGUAGGUUGGACUAGGUUUUAGAAGAAUUAAGAAUAAUUUUGUAAAAUUUUUGGAGCUCUAGAAAUUAAGAAAUAAAUUUAUGCAAAAAUUCCCCAAAAUAGAUUUAUUUAAAAACCUAGAACUAGUUUUAGAUUGCAAAUUCAAAAUUUCUUUGGAAUUUGGGGUUACACUUUAAAGCAGAGUUGUAAAGCUAUUUAUUUUGAGCAACUUUUGUUUUUGGGGCAAAGUUUGAAAAAAUCUUUUAAACAAGUCAAAUUGUGCCUAGAAAAGUUUUGGGAAAAAUAAUUUCAAAAAAAAAAGAAAGGGGACAGGCGCUGCUGGGCCGACCCGCCUCCUUUUCGGCCCACUCGCGCGCGCAGCCCAGCUCCCCCUCUCCUCCCCGCGCGUGGGCGCGUCCCGCCUUCCUCCACCGGAUGCCGGCCACGUGGUGACCGUACGUCGGCGACGUGGCCGCGGCCGCCCUGCUCCGACCGGCAUGACCCGGUCGGGACGCCACCCCGCUCCCCUAUACGCCCCCAUUCUCUUUGCCCCCCUCUCCCUCGCUCAUAUUCACUCCCGCUCCAAGCUCCGCUGCGAUGCCAUUGCCGGCUGAGCUCCGCCGCUCGCCAUCGGCUGUUUCGUCAGGCCAUCUCCCACACCAAGCCCACCGCUGAGUUCGCCAUCACCGCAGUAAGCCCCUGCGCACGCUCAACGGAGGUGGUAAGCCUACGUGCGACUGCAAUGGCUCGCCAGAGUUCAACCGACCUCGUCGGAGUGCUCCGCCUCACGAGAACCCCCUCUUCCCUGCCCCUUUUUACUUGUUUUUGUGCGCAUCGUGUUCGGGGUGACCUAACCAAGCUCCGACGGCACUCCACAGACGCUCUACCCUACCGGUGUGGCCUGGCCAUGGCGAGCAGCGCCGCUGUGCCGCCAUGCACGCCGACGAGGAUGAUCCGGACAUUUCCCAAGGGCACCACCGGGUGCGCCUCGCUGCGGGGAGCACGUUGGUGCUCACCCCGCGGCCGGAGGCUCCCCGCCGGCGAGGCCCGCUCGUCGGAGGUAUCCCCUCCUCUCGGUUGCACUGACCAGUGGGGUCGGAGGCCCACUGUCAGCCGCAGGGGGAUCGGGUUGGGUGUAGAUCUGGGUGUGUAUAGCUUUUUCCAGCGCGGAUUUGAAAAGGAGAUUUCGAAAAUGAUUUUCCAGAAAUGAUUUAAAUCGUAUUUAGUCCAUAUCUUGAGAUCUACAGCUCCAAAAAUGAUGAAAUAAAACUUAACGUGUUCUGUAAAUCAAGAUCUACAACUUGGUGCUCUUGCAUGUUAUGUUUGUCAAACUUUUCUGUAUAAAUAUAUUUAAUCCAUGAUAUUGCUGUUAUUUAGAAAAUACACAGUAAAUAAAAUAUAGCUCAGAAAAAUAUGAUUAUGGUUUUGCUAGCUUUGCAUAGAUGUGUAGUUGCUAGGAAAAAUAUAUAGCACAAUAUUUGCUAUAUGAAUUAAUUUAUGUUGAUUUAAAUGCUUGCAUGGCAGCGGUUUAUGAUUUUUAAUAGAUAAUUGGAUCAUGCAAUUAAUUUGGAAUUUUUUUUGGACAUUUCUUAUGUUAAGAAAUAAUUUAUAAAAAAUAUGAAAUAUGUUGUUUGACACUUUGUCACUAGUAGAAUAUCUACACUUAAUUAUGUUAAUAAACUUACGAUUUUUGUAUGGGCCAUGUUACCUGCCCAAAUGCUAUGAAAAUUUGGUGAUAAACUUUAUAAAUAACCAGUAACCUACUGUAAUGUUUGUAGAAUUUAUUGAAUCACAAAAGUAUAUGCUACUGUUGUAGGCUUAAUAAUAAAUAAAUAAAUAAACUCUUGCUAUGCAUGAAUUUGAAUGGAAUAAAUUGUGUUUGGUGUAUCUUUGAACCACCAUAGUAGCUUGCUGGUUAGUAAUAGCUAUAGAAGAGAAUGCAAUAGAUGCUUUACUUGGUUACAUGUUCUUGGAUGAUGUUGACUACCUUGUAGAAAUAAUUUCCUCUUGCAUUCGUUAAAGCUCUUCUUCACUAAAGAUACAGUCUGCACGUACCUAUCUAAGCACUAUGUCAUGAUCAUCUUGUCUUAACUUGCAUAGCAUUGCACCUCGGGCAUCUUGCACUUCCACUCAUGUCCACACAUGCAUCAUACAGGCUCGCAGGAGAACGAGGUGGAACCCAAGGAACAGGAGGAGACAUCAGAGCAGGAACUUCCGGGAGGACCAGAGCCGGAAGGAGAUCUACAGGAGUGCCCGGACCACAAGCCUAGCACCUUCGAGAGAGGCAAGCCCAGGAGCAUUCUAAGUCUCCCUAUUCUCGCUAACUUAAUUUGUUAUAUCAUGGUUGUUUUUACUAUGCUGCAUUAAGUGAUAGGAGUUGCUUGAUACCGUUGAUGCAUAUUUACUCCUUGAUAUCACCACCUGUUUAUCUACCUUGUCCUAAGUAGGUAGGCUCGAAGUCUAUGCUUAGCUUGCUUAGCACGGUAGAAGUCGGGUGAUUUCCUAUCACCUACGAGAUAUAGGUGGAUACCUCGACGAUUAGCUGUCAAUGCUAUGGUGAAAAGUAACCAAGUGUGGGAAUGAAUCUGGGUAGGGUCUUAUGGUGGUGUUGAUCGUCGUGCCCAUGCUUGUGUUGAUUAAGGACCAAUCGUUGAUGGCCCUCUUGUCAUGUUGAACGCAUGACCCACACUUAGCUGGAAGGAUAAGUCGUUCUGACCGCGAAGCCUGAACACUAUCUAGGCCGAGAAUUGGCCUGAUGUACCCGCUGUAUUGGUGUUGGUUGAGGACAAUGACGAGGGCGCGGCGUGCAAUCUUGGUAUACCUUGGAUUCCUUGGUCGCCGGAAUGGUCCUCGGUUACGGGCGGUGCCUGCCGAACCCGUGAAUUAGUCCUGGAUAGUGUAAUACAAUGACCUGAAGCUCACUUGAUCAGUGAGUGUGGUUUGUGUGGGGAAUAAAAUCGCCAGCUGGUCAGAAAUCGAUUCGAAUCGCCAUCGCUCCUGGAUAGUGAGCACUUGACAUGAGCCCUGUCCUCGUAGUAAGGACUAUGAAACACUUGGGUUAUGAUAAGUGAUGAUUUGUGAAUGCUAUGAUAAGGUACUAUCAUAUCACAACAAUUAUUUGCAAUAGUACAGAUGCAAAUCUAGAUGGUAGGUAAUAAUACCUAACUUGAGCAAAAUAAUACAAAAAGGGGGUGUUAGGAUAUAUUCCUAGAUGGUUAAUGCUUUUACGCAAAAAGGUUUCAGCCAUCCCACUAUACAGCCUUCAUGAUCCUUGAAGAGUCUUUUAUUUUGGUUCAUGACGGGUAAGUCUAGUUGAGUACAUUCUCGUACUCAGGGUUCCAUUCCCAUGUCGUUUUGCAUAUGGGUAGAUGUACUAUGGGUAUUGCAUUCACUGCUUGUACCCAGCAGUGGGUGAUGACUAGACCAAAAUCAAUGGUCACUCUACCUCCUCUUUUGCUGUUGUGGGAAUGACUAGACUAUGGUACAGUAUCAGACUAAAUGUGUGUGUGAUUUGUGUUGAAAAUCAAAGUCAAGAAACAGUAUGUGAAUGUGGACUUUGAAUGGUGGCCAAAAUAAUGAAGGAGGAGAGGAAUUUUAAAGGAUUCAAACACUGUACAAACUUGUAUUCAUUCUCUUUGUCCCUCUAUAAAUAGGGAGUCUCUUUCAGCUGAUGAGAUGCACAAGUGAAAAGAAUGAGUGAAAUACAAAAAGCCUCUCAUUCUCCUCAUCUCUCUUUCUCUAUCCACAAGUAAAAUUCGUGAGCACCUAGUGAAUGAUUUCUAACACGUUAUCAGCACCAGUUCUACCGAGCUAAGGGUAAGAAGGUAGGAAAUCGAUUCAAUUGAUGCUCACUGUUGCUAUCCUCUUGUUCAUGAACGAACACAAAGCACAAACACGAAUACCUCGUCGUCAUCCUGAAGAUGUACGUGCGGAUCAAGCUGCUGCUAUCUAGAAGGUAAGUAGAUCGGGCCAUUACCGUCCAGAAGAUGGAUAAGCGGCCGGCGCGGGCGCGGCUGCGGCUGGCACGGGUGCGGCCUCGACGCGGCAGCGCGCCCCCAGCGUGGGCGCGGCACGCGACCCGGCGCGGAUGCAGCCCCCCCCCCCGCCAGGCGCGGGCCCGGGCGCGACCCCCCGGCCAACGCGGGCGCGACACGCGACCCGGCGCGAACACAGCCCCCCGGCCAGGCGCAGGCCCGGGCGCGACCCCCCGGCCAGCGCGGGCACAGUCUUCCUCCAUGGCCCCAUGGCCACCCUCUCCUAUCUAUCUUCCUGGAGAAGAGGAUAUGAAAGAGAGGGAAAGAAAGAAAAAAAUGGAUAGGGUUAGGUUUCCCCUCCCUAUUUAUAUGAAGUUGGGGAAAAAUCUAAGCCGUCCACUAUGAUGAACGGCCACAAUAGAUUAGAAGUACUCAAAAGAGUUGUGAACCAGAACAUACAUGAUUAGUAAUUGCAUAAUGAAUUAGAAGUAGAUUACUAGAGUCAUCCCAUGAGCAAGAUUGAUUAGAGCUUGAUCACGACGAAGUACAACCGGAGGAAGAACCGACAGGCCGGCCUCUCCUCUAAUCCUCCUUCGCUCUCCAUCUCGCUACUAUCUAGAUCUACUCUAGUUUAGAGAAGAGAGGAGAGCUCUCAUCUCUAAACCCUAGAUUUUGCUCUGUCUAUGAAUAAUGAAUAAUGAUCAAGGGGUGCCUCCUCCAGGGGCCAGGGGGUCGGGUUUUAUAGUCCCCUCAAGUGAACAUGGGCCGUCAGAUCAAACCGACAUUGAUUGGACGGUUAUCCUUGAUCCUUUAGGUCGGUGGAGAGUAAUCCCCGAAGAGAGUCCUGUUUGGACUCCAAGUCAGGGUAGGCGCCCAAGGAAGGAGGGCGGGCGCCCUGCCUCUGUGCCCGUUUGGCCUCCCGUUCGUUCUCGUGGCUUCUAGAGUCUUCUAGAUGAUAGAAAAUUGCGCGGCACGUUAAUAUCUCUAUGUACACCUGACGUGUGGACCUUUCUUCCUUAUUUCCUGAUAACCCCCUGCAGAAAUAGACAAACACCAAAACUCGUGGAAUUCUGUCAGAUAAAACCCUAAGUGUAGAUGUUGAUUUCUUUUGGAUCCUUUUCUUUGUUUAUUUGCUGAUUAUAUUUGGUACUUAAGGACCGUCAACAACUCCCCCAAGCUUACCUCUUGCUCGUCCCUGAGCAAGGAUGGACUCAAGAGUUUUUGCAGUGGUUUUAUGCCUUAAAGGUACUCAUGCGUUCAAACAAGAUCUCAUCUCUAGGCUAAGGUAAAUUGUUAAGAUUUAAAACUUACUCAUAUUACCUUUCACCAUGGGGCUUGCAACCGUCACUUGUGUCUUGAGCAGUUAAAAGAUAGAACGGUCAAGUCAAGCACCAUGUCUCUUGUUCUUUGAUCAACUAUAGCUCUAGAGUUUUUUUUUUUGCAGAUUUUCAAAUAAAACUCAGAGAUUCCUUGUAUGACUCUCUCUAGUCUCUCUUUUGUGGUAUUUCUAGAUCCUUACCAAGGCAGUGAUGAUAUAUGCCUUCUCUCAAAGUAUGUGGUAUUUGUGGUAUGAGGCAUAAUGAUAUUGCCUUCUCUCUCACCCUACUCUAGCAAGGUUUUGAUAUUUGGAGCUUAUAGGUGGGAGACAGCUAAUACAUACUUACAAGACAUUUAUUGCAUAGUCAAACCAUGGAUCCAGAGAAACAAGUCAAUAAGUCAAAUCAAGAUGUGCAUGUGUGGCGAAUGAAUGGUGUAUGGUGAUAAUGUUGAUAAUGAUGAAAACAAUGGUGAAUGUCUAAUUCUACGUUUGCUCUUCUGAGGGGAUACAUACCUUUCUUGCACUUUGAAGCUUUUUGAAGGGAAUGAGAUGAUCUAUAUUUUCUUUUCUUUUCUUUUUUCUUUUCUCUCAGGUGGGUAUCGUGUACCCCUAAUUCUACUGUCGGACACUUGUCCAUUUUUACCUCUCGUCUCACUUUUUCUUUUUUUCUUUCGAGGUUCCGAGCACUUGCCCCUUUUUAUUUCCUCAUAUUUUUCUUCUUUUUUUUCAGAGCACUCACCCUCCUGGAAUAAUGUAGCAAGUGGUAGUAUCCAAAAUAGCUUGAGCAUUUAUUUCACAGGGAAAAACAGGAAUGGGAUAAUGUUUUUGGCUAUUCUCUCCCGGAUAGGAGUAGAAUAAUUUUGGGUGAAUCUGGAGAUGGAAAGGAGUGGAUGUAUGUGGAUGCGUACUUCCAGAGUAGAAGCAGCAUGUAUGAGUGAACGUGCAAGUGAAUCUUGAUUUUAACCGCAUGACAAGCUCCUAAGGGUCUACACAGCUUGACCACACUCAAUGCUCAUAGGCAGUAAAAAAGUAAAUGUAUGGUUCAUAGUCUAAUAAGCAUGUAUAUAUGGCUGUGGCAAGAUUUUAAACUCUCAUCAUACAGGAACUCAUCAUGCAACAUUUUAAAGAUUUUCAAAGAUAAAAUUCUCCAUAAUUCUAGCAUCUCUAGCAACAGAUAAACAGGAGCUCAACCUUCCCAUAUCAUAUCCGUUAAUGACUUAGACUUUAGAUCAAGUACUCUUCCCACAAGUUCAGGUUUAGAGCAAAUCUUAAUUCAUAACAGUCAUGCCUAAACUUGAGAGAGAUUUCAAUUUUGAGAACUAGUCAUGGCAGAGCAACUAUUCAUCAUUUUCAUGUGAGAGCUUAUCAUGAGGGUUCAUAGCAAACUUUAUUUAUUUAUUUAUUUAGGAAACUAAGAAAAGAUAUAUAUAUAUAAGUCUAAAAUAUUUAUUUGGGUUUUUAUGAUUAUGCAUCUUUUUAUUAUUUUAACAAAGUAUAAGUAUAAACGUAGAUAGAAAUACUUAGCUGGAUAAAUGGGGGUGCUCUCCCCCAAGCUGGAUUUUGACGUAAUUUCUUCUGAUGUAGCUAGCAGAUGGCGGAGGUGUACUUGAAUGUUGGAAGCACCCUGACAGUGAUUAGAAUGUCCUCCGUCUGCUAGUCUUCUUUGAUCCUUGAAUUCUUUCGGCGAGGGUUCAAUGUUUUAAGUCUUCUGAACAAGACUUCUCACUGUGUUCAUUCUUCAGGUGCGUCAUUUGAUUCAGGUGUGGACCUUGACGUCUGCACCUCUUAAUACGGUGUCACUCAUGUUCUUCGUUUGUCCAGUAGUUCGAAGUAUCUUGCUCAGUGUGUUUGUGCUCGUAGUGUACCUGCUCAUAGAGACAAGGCAGAGAUCAAGUGCAUGGGUCCUGUUGGUGGGAAAACACCAACAGAACUAAAAGUGUAUUUGUGCUUCUCUAACCUUAAGCAUGGUGAGCAAGACAACAUUGAUGGAUGAUAAGAUCAUGAGUGUAGCACUUAUAACAUUUGUUAGAUCAGAUCGCUUCAUCCUUAUGGAAAGAUAAUCUAUCUAUGUAUAUGUCUUUUUCUUUAUAUCUCUCAAAGAUUGAAUGUGUAACAUUUAGCUCAUAUGAUUAGGAGUGUGGGAUCACAAAGGUGGAAGGACUAAACAUGUUGACUCGAUUGGGUUGGUUAAUCUAGAGUUGUAAAUCAUACAUGUUUGUCUCUUUUAUUCAUAUAAACGCCAGAACCAAGGAGAAGCUUAUAAAAGUGAUAGUUAAGUACCUUAAGAUGUUACCUUGCUUGAAGAGUGAUGGUACCAUCUUACCUUGUGGAAGCUUCCCAUUCGUAGUGAUUGUGUAUCGUGUUUGUGGCACCUUCCAUGGAUCAUCUCUUAUGAGCUAUGUCUUCCUUGUGUAAAUUGUUAAACUUCAUGUGUCCCUCUCUUCAUCUUCGAUGUGAGUUUAUCUCAGGACUUCAUAGGUUGAUAGUGAAAGUUUUCCUACAGGGGUUAGUCUAACAAAAUAUCCAAUAUCUACUAUAGCAUAAUAUCGGCUCAAAAAUCAACCCAGACACCAUGUCUAAUUUGAAUUUAGGAGGGCAUUUUAACCUAAGCACCAUGCUUAAUUUAAAUGCCAAUGGAAGUAUGUCGUGUACUUCCAAACCAACACUUGCUAGUAAAUAGACAAAGGUAGCAUGACAGCAUUUAUAAAGAUCUACUCAAGUGGAGAUAGAGUAGUGUGAUUAGUACUUAACAAAUUGAGCAUGUAGCACAAAGGUAGGGACAACCAGCAUAGCAAGAUGGCAAAGGAUAUUUUUAUGUAAAGCACUCCCCCAAGCUUGAAUUUUGCAAAAUUCAAGUUUGGAUGAAUCUAAUUUAAUGUUGUAUGAUGAUUUGUUGGACAUACCUUGUGCUUGUCAUUCAUCCGAUCUUCUUGCUCCAAUCCUGGAAAGGUUAGUGACAAGAAUACCCGAAGGAAUAUUUUUACAAUUAGCCUUAUAUGCUCAAUACACAAGGUAAUGUUGUAAAUAAUUAAAAGCUCAUGUUACGAUCUUAUCAGUGCUUAUUUUAGGACACUAAGCUUGUCCUUGGGAAACCAUCAAUUUAUGUCGGCGAAGUGGUUUCCCUUCCAACGCUGAUCAAGAUCAACUCAACAAGAUCUGCAAUAUUUAUUAUAGACAUAUGCGUCGACAACCGCCCUUUUAAAGUUUUUAUAAAUAGAAAGGAAGAGGGGGUUGGAGAUCUCAAAUGUGGUGAUGUUGGAGAGACCAAUAGAUUGGGAAGAUGUUGCAUAUGAGCAUGGAGCAAACGAAGUGGCUAUGAAAUAAAUUCCAUGCUCAUUAAUGUUAUCUUCGUCUCUAAUCUGAAUGUUCGGAGUUUCUCCUGGAUUGGUCUCACCUAUGUCCUCUUCUGUAGUUGGAUGAAUCUCAUCUUCAAAGGGAGUCAAGAACUCAUCAUUUGAAAUUGAGCCAAAGUUAGAAUCCAUUAAGGCUUCUUCCAUAUCCAUCCAUUCUACACAUUCUAACCAUUUAGAACUUGUGAUCAAGAAAGGGGAGGUGUUAGAAUUUUCUAUAUGGCUUAGCUCUCCUUCACUUGAUAUGUCAUCCUCGACUUCUUCAUAAUAGGAACCAAGACAUUCUCUAAGAGAAACAUUAUUGCAAGGAUUUGAAUUAUCCCUGCUUGAAGGUCUCUUAUGGAACCAGAAGUCUAAACCGUCAGUAUCUGAAAGAUUUAAGGUCGGAAUUCCUUCCUCCCUUAGAGAAUUUUGGGGUAUUGAUGGUUUAGGAUCGAUAGCUAAAGUUUGGAAUUGAAGUGGUUGUGAUAUGGCUAUCGAAACUUCUUCUUCUUGUCUAAGAACUGGUUCUUUCUCUUUCUCAGGGAUAUAAAAGCUAGGAGACUUUCCGCUCAUUAAAUCAAUCAAAUUCCAAGCUUCACUAGUGGAUAGGUGGUGGAAAGAUCCUCCAGAGGCCGCAUGAAGGGUUUGCUUAUCUUCCCUACUAAGGCCCUCAAAAAAGUGAAUUAGAAGAACUUGUUCUGAAAUAGAAAGCUUUGGGCCGGUGAGAGUAAGGUUAAUAAAGCGGUCCCAUGAUUUGCCAAGAGAUUCUUCUUCCAGUUGUCUAAAAGAAAGAAUCUCACGCCGAAGUUCCACCACUUUGGAGAUUGGAAAAUAUUUAGAAAGAAAACUACUAUAUAACUCCUUCCAAUCUCCAUGAACACUCCCUACUUUGAGUUUGUACCAAUGUCUAGCUUUUCCCGUUAAAGAGAACGGAAAGAGCUUCCAUUUAAGGGUCUCAUCGGACAUUCCUUCUAUGCGAAGGAGGUCACAGACUCGAUAAAACUCUCUUAGGUGUGUGUAUGGGUUUUCCUCACCUUCUCCUGAGGAAAUUCGUAGCUAGACAUGUUUGAAUUCAUGAUAGACCAGAGAUCAAGGAUUAGAUAAGAAGAAAGAAUAGCAGAGAUAAGGCAAAAGAUAAAAGGAAAAGUAUAUAUAUUUUUUUAUUAUUUUUUUAGAAAAUGAUUAAGCUAGUUCGUAGUCAACUCAGCAACCCUUUCCCCGGCAACGGCGCCAAAAAUGCUUGUUGACACUUGCUAACACCACUUGAAUACUAGGUUGUCAUCCCUAGCAUGGCACUAGAGUGUACUAUGGUAUUUAUACACACACAGAUAAUCCGAAAGCGCACGGAUACCAUUGAAGCUUUUACCCGGUUAAAGGUUUUAUCGUAUCCACAGGGAAACGGGAGAACUGAUCUACGCUCUAACUUAACCAAGAUAAGUGUAAAUAGGACAGAUGGUAGAAUUGAAUAAGAACAAUAUUAAACAUAAGAUAGCAGUGAGUGAUAAUAUGAGAAUAGAGAGUAGAGCAAUCUAGUAUAUGGGCGAUGGUAGCAGAAUAGAGAGGAUAACUAUAGUUUCUCUACUUCAAAGGGGUAUGUCUAUGUCUGGGACGAACCACGUGAUAAGAUUACACCACAAAGGAUGCUUAUCCGUAGGCCGAUAAACCCUACCCGUCCAGCUAACGAGAGGUGGACUACAGAGGACCAAUGUAACUGUCACCUACGCAGCCUACCACCCGAUCCAGCUAGACAGGGGAUAUCCACAAGUAAUCUAGGUCUAAGCACCACGCUUACACCUAUACUACAACUCUAACCUAUAGCGUCCUAUAGAUUAGAAGUACUCAAAAGAGUUGUGAACCAGAACAUACAUGAUUAGUAAUUGCAUAAUGAAUUAGAAGUAGAUUACUAGAGUCAUCCCAUGCGCAAGCUUGAUUAGAGCUUGAUCAUGACGAAGUACAACCGGAGGAAGAACCGACAGGCCGGCCUCUCCUCUAAUCAAGAUCUUGUUUGAAUGCAUGUGUACCUUUAAGGCUUGAAACCACUGUAGAAACUCUUGAGUCCAUUUUUGCUCAGGGACUAAGCAAUGGUUAAGCUUGGGGGAGCUUGUUGACGGUCCUUAAUGCUCACAUUUAACCGUCAACUAAUCAUGAAAAAGGAUCCAAAUGCAACCGACACCUAGACUUAGGGUUUCAUCUGACAGAUUUCUACGAGUUUUGGUGUUUAUCUAUUUCUGCAGGGGGUUAUCAGGAAAUACGAAGGAAAGGCCCACACGUCGGGUUUACAUAGAGAAUUAAUGUGUGCGGUAAUUUUCCAUAAUCAGGAAGACUCUAGAAGCAACUCGACCGAAGCUGAGCCGAGACGGGCCCGGGGCCGGGGCGCCCGCCCUGGUACAAGCACGAAUCACAGAAUGGAGUACACCAUUACAAAGAUCUCGUCAAGCUGAUCGAAAUGCAUAUAUUAUUUGCUAUAUUUGGAGUCGGAAUCAAGAGAUAUUGAUAAAAGAAGGACUCCACAAGAGGUACGAGAUUAAUAGGGCCCAAAUCAGAUUUUGGUCCAUUAAGGCCUAUGUGUAUUUUAAUGAGAUAUGGUGGAAAGUUUAGUACCACAUCGCCUGCUGAACCAAAAAGGGCACAAAGGAGGAGGCUAUAUAAGCAAGGCCUCUGGCCCCUCGAGGAGAACACAUCAUUAUAGAGUUGAGAGGUGCCCUCGAAGGAUAACCUUUCUUCUAUAAAGAAUUAGGGCUAGACAUUCCAUUGUAGUAGAUUAGUUCUAGUCGGGAGUUAGGGAGAGCGGAGCUGCACUUCGGUUCUGGAGAAGUCUUCGGAGUUUUGGUAUGUCUUUAUAUUUACUGUAAGAUUUAUGCUUUAAUAUAUUUAUCAUCUCUGUUUACUUUUAUGCCUUUAUUAUUAUCGAGUAGUGUAGUUGUUAUAUUUUGGCAAAGGAUCUCUGUUCGCAUCGAGUGCUCUAGUUAUUCAUGGUAAUUAGAGUAGUAAUCGUUAGUGUAGACGUGGUGUCUAUACUAGAGGUUACCUGAGGUUGCACCCAGUCCUGCGGAUUGUUGUGGUAGCCCUAGGGUAGUGACAGCCCUAACGGUCGACGUAUUCCACCUCGCUUGGAUCGGUGUGUGUAGGACCGUAGUCAGAGCUUCCCAACCCCCUUCCAGUUCUCUUUCUAUGGUUGGUGUUUUGAUGUCCCAAAGUGCUAAUAUGUGAUUGCUAUAUCUAUUCAUUCUUUGUUAUCAUAGAACUGAAGUAAUAGAGAAGUAUACAGGAACCUAGGUCUCUCCCGUUGUCCUCCCGCUAUGGCUAUCUACGCAUUUAUCAUAGAAUUCUCACCUUUAUAUUAUUACCUAUCAUAUAUCAUUUACCCCUACUUUAGUCUAGUUGGUUUAUUAAAUUAGUAGAUGCAUGAUAAUAAGUUAUCAGAUUCUUUGACCUUAGCUUCCCAGUGGUAAAAUAUAAAUAACGAUACUUGGAAUACUCUCGGUAAUAUGCUACGAUGAUGUUCUGUGCAUUUGCGGAAUUUUUCUUAUUCUUAUUGCACUUAACGAAUGUCAACAAAGCUGCCCUACACAAUAUCGCUGACAACACCCGCCAUGGGGGGAACCAGGGCGGUCAUGAGGUGAAUCAGUAUAGCUCUUUCAAGGACUUCAUGGACACCAAACCACCGGUCAUUAAAGAGGCCACGGAACCGCUCGAAGCUGAUGAGUGGAUUAACACUAUGGAGCCGAAAUUCUGUCUUCUUCGGUUGACUAAAGAGCUAAAGGUAGAGUACGCAGCACAUCAGUUGGAGGGGCCUGCUAGGAUUUGGUGGUUCCAUCAUCGUACCAUCUAUCCAGAGGGAAUCCCGAUCACCUGGAACCGCUUCACCAUCGCUUUCCAGAGAAAUUAUAUUCGUCCGGGUCUGGUGGAGAUGAAGAUUGGAGAGUUCAUGAAGCUGUCACAUGGAACCAAGACUGUGAAAGAAUACUUGCAUGCUUUCAACAACCUUGCUCGUUACGCUCUAGAGUUUGUUAACACAGAUGCUAAGAAGAUUGCUAGUUUCCAGAGGGGCUUGAGCCCGAAGAUGCUGAAGACUAUGGGUACAGGGACCCGAGCUACUUUCAAUGCCUACAUUAGUGACUGUCUGACACAAGAGAACAAUAACAACAACUAUAGUGCAUCCAAUUCAUGCAAGAGGCCUUUUGAAGCUGGAUCAUCUCAGUCCAGGGUACCAGUGGUAGGGCGUCAGCAGUAUCGUCCUCCUACCCUGGGUGCUAGGUUCUGACCUCCGUAGGGAAGAAACAGAGGACAUCCAACUCAGCAGAAGACGUACAAGGUAGUAGUGGCUCUAGCAAAGCCAAGGGCUAAUCAAGCCGCAGCACCUGCUGCCAACACCGUGACCAAGGGGCUGUGCUACAACUGCCACAAGAUGGGGCACUUUGCCAAGGAAUGUCCCUACCCCAAGAGGCAGCAGUUGACCUACCCGGCCUGUGUGCACCACACCUCAAUCGAGGAGAUCAUGAAGGGAGAACCAGCAACAGCUGGUAUGUUCCCUGUCAACCAACAUCUUGUAGUUGUUUUGUUUGAUUCUGGAUCAUUGCAUUCGUUCAUGAGCCAAGCAUUUGCACAAUAACAUGAUCAACCGUUUACUGAGUUAUGUUGUGGUUAUCGCAUCCGUUCAGCUGGGGCUGAUGUGUUGACCAACAAGGCAGUAACAGGAGCAACCUUGGAUAUUAGCGGCCGAAGGUUUCGCGUAAACCUUGUGGUCAUGCCAGGAUUAGUUUUGGACAUUAUCAUUGGCAUGAAUAAGAUGACAGAUUGGGGUGCAGUCAUAGAUGCAGGUCAGAGGACUCUCUCCCUUAAGGAUCCAAAGGGGGAGGGCAUGUUUCAGGUUAAGUUACCGCAGCGAUUUUACUUUGCCAGUCUUUCUUGUGCUAUACAAGUGGUUCUGUUAGAGCACAUACCUGUGGUCUGUGAGUUUCCUGAUGUUUUUUCUGGAAGAGUUACCAGGACUUCCCCCGGAUAGAGAAUAGAGUUUGCUGUAGAGUUGAUACCUGGUACAACAACAAUCUCUUAGAGACCGUACCGGAUGCCGCCAAACGAGCUCACUGAAUUGAAGACUCAGUUGAAGGAGUUGCUGGACAAAAGUUUUAUCCGACCGAGUUCGUCAGAAUGAGGUUGUCUGGCACUGUUUAUGAAAAAAGAAGGAUCAAUCCUUGCGCAUGUGCGUGGACUAUCGUCCGCUCAAUGCUGUGACAAUCAAGAAUAAGUAUCCUUUGUCACGAAUUGAUAUCCUAUUCGAUCAGUUGUCUAAAGCAAAAGUGUUCUCCAAGAUAGAUUUUAGGUCCAGGUAUUGCAAAAUCAACAUCCGCCUGCAAGAUAUACCAAAGACUGCUUUUUCUACCAGAUAUGGGUUGUAUGAGUAUCUUGUCAUGUCCUUUGGAUUGACAAAUGCUCCUGCAUACUUUAUGUAUCUGAUGAAUUCAGUCUUUAUGCCAGAGUUAGACAAGUUUGUUGUGGUGUUCAUCGAUGACAUUUUGGUUUAUUCGGAGAAUGAGCAAGAUCAUGCUGAGCACUUGAGGGUUGUGCUGACUCGACUGAGAGAACACCAGUUGUAUGCAAAGUUCAGCAAGUGUGAGUUCUAGCUUAAGAAGGUUCCAUUCUUGGGGCACAUUCUGUCGGAAGUUGGGGUACAAGAAGUCAUGGACAGGAAGGCACCAACUUUUGUCUCAGAAGUUCGAAGCUUUCUUGGUUUAGCCAGGUAUUAUCAUCAUUUCAACCCUGACUUCUCCAUGAUUGCUAAGCCGAUGACCAGUUUGCUGCAAAAGGAACAUAAGUUCGUCUGGACAGAGGAGUGUGAAGUAGCCUUCCGCACCUUGCGAAAGCUACUGACCACUGCUCCUAUUUUGGCACAACCGAACAUCAAGAAGCCUUUUGAUGUGUUAUGUGACGCAUCAAAAAGUGGUCUGGGAUGUGCUCUGAUGCAAGAGGGCAGAGUUAUAGCCUAUGCUUUGUUGGGUAUUCUUAACGUCAUUACCAAAAGUAGACUUAGUUUUCUAAUUCUGAUAACAGCGCCAUAAAUACCAAACCUAUCCCUCAUACCACUUAAGCCAAGUUGUGAUCCCCAGCAUGACAUGAGAGACGCGGUAUUGAAAUAUGCAAUUGCUCAUCUAAAUAAAUAAUGAAUGGGAUCUGCAAGCGCACAGAUUAAUACCGAUGUAGCAUUUUAACCGGGAAGUAUUCCAGGUAUCGUUAUUUAUAUUUUUACCACUGGGAAGGGAUUGCUAAACAUCAAUGUUGAUUAUAGAAUGGAAUAUAAGAUUGAGUAUCUAUCAUUGCAUGUAUAAUUGAGAACAUUUUUUUAACUCUUUCAUACAGGGAUAAGUGUCACAUAAAGGAUAUAUAAAGUAAUGAAUAGUGAUAAAGAUAAUAAAUCUGAUUAGCAUAACUUAGCCACAUAUAAAUAUGAUAAGCACCUGAAUUAGAUAUUCUAGUAAGUCAUUAGCAUGGAAUUAGAACGAACUACAAGAAUAUUUCCUAAGUUAUUCUCAACUAUACAGUCUAACAUAUCAUAGUUAGUGCAAUUAUACUUAGCAAUCAUUGUGAGACAAGACUACGCCCAUGCAUAGUGAUAUUAGCAAGGAAUAUGAGAAACAUCGUAAUCACUCCCUUGUAAUAAUGUUACUCUGCCAGCCCAAUACACGAGAGGGGGACUAUAUAAGAAUCAAUGGAGCUGUCACUACGACGAACUACCCCGCGAUCUGGCAUAUAGGGUACAAUCGUAGAUAAAUACGGUAUAAGCACCACACCUACACAAUAUCUAUCAUUUACCCAUGGAUCCGAUGGAUAAACGCUAUACGAUCCUAAACAUGUAUAUAGAUCCAAUCUAACUAAGCCAAGUAUAUAACUAUGAUAAACUAAGAACAAUAUAAUUGCGAAUAUAAACAAGUAGAGCAAAGUCAUAAUCAAUAUAUUGAAGUAGAACAAAGUCAUAUUCAUAAUAUCGAACAACAAAGAUGAACAAUUGAAGAACAAUAGAGAAUUACCGAGAAUCCUCUUGACAGAUCCGGAAACCAAUCGAAGAUUGACUCCUUCUAGUUCUAAUCCUAUGUAGCUAUGCUAAUCUAGAUAUCUAAUUGAUGUGGUGGCUCUAGGCUUGAUCAGAGGCUUCUUCUCCCUUGAUGAAUAAUGAAAUAGGGUUGAGAGGUGCUCUCCUCCAGGGACCAGGGGGUCUGGUUUUAUAGUCCUUCCAAGUGAAUAUAAGCCGUCGGAUCAAACCGACAUUGAUUGAAUAGUUAUCCUUGAUCCUUUAGGUUGGUGGAGCUUAAUCCCGAAAGAGAGUCCUGAUUGGACUCCAACAGGAGGCGGGCGCCCUGGUCCCUAGGGCGGGCGCCCUGAGCCAGGCUCUGUUCUGCCUCCGCUUCGUUCCAGUGGCUUCUGGAGUCUUCUAGAUGUAAGAUAAUUGCGCGGCACGUUAAUAUCUCUAUGUAUUCCCGAUGUGUUGGCCUUUCUUCCAUAUUUCCUGAUAACCCCCUACAGGAAUAGACAAACACCAAAACUCAUGAAAUUCUGUCAGAUAAAACCCUAAGUCUGGAUGUUGAUUUCAUUUGAAUCCUUUUAUUUGUUUAUUUGAUAAUUAAUUUUGAUACUUAAGGACCGUCAAUAACUCCCCCAAGCUUACCUCUUGCUCGUCCCUGAGCAAGGAUAGACUUAGCGAUGGAUCAGAAGUUGUUGUAAUGCCUUUACAAGUUGAUAGUACACAUGCUUUCAAAUAAGGUCUCAUCUCUGAGUUUGAGUAAACUGUCAAGACUUAAAACUUAUUCAUUUUACCUUUCACCAUGGGACUUGUAACCAUCACUUCUGUCUUGAGUAGUUAAAAGAUAGAACAGUCUAAUCAAGUGUCAUGUCUCUUAUUCUUGAUCAGCUAUAGCUCUGGAGUUUUUGUAUAUUUUCAAAUAAAACUCAGAUAUUCCUUGUAUGACUCUCUCAAAUGUCUCUUUUGUGGUAUUUUUGGGAUCCUUACUAAGGCAAUGAUGGUAUAUUCCUUCUCUCAAAAUAUGUAGCAUUCAUGGUAUAAGGCGUAGUGAUAUUGCCUUCUCUCCAACCCUACUCUAAUAAGGCUUUAAUAUCUGGAGCUCAUAGGUCGGAGAUAAAAUAUACAUACUUACAAGACAUUUAUUGCAUAGUCAAACCAUGGAUCCAAAGAAACAAAUCAAUAAGUCAAAUCAAGAUGUGCAUGUGCGGCGAAUGGUGAUGAUGGUGAUAAUAAUGGUGAAAGUCUAAUUCUACUUUUGUUCUUUGAGGGGAUUUAUACCUUCCUUGCUUUUUGAAACUUUGUGAUGAGAAUGAGAUGCUCUAUCUUUUCUUUUUCCUCUCAGGUGGGUAUUUUAUACCCCUAAUUCUACCGUCGGACACUUGUCCAUUUUUACCUCUCGUCUCACUUUUCUCUUUUCUUCGAGGUUCUAGAGAUGGAAAUGGAUGGAUAUAUGUGGAUGCGUACUUCCGGAGUAGAAGCAGGAUGUAUGAGUGAACGUGCAAGUUAAUCUUGAUUUAACCACAUGACAAGCUCCUAAGGGUCUACACAGCUUGACCACACUCAAUGCUCAUAAGCAGUAAAAAGUAAAUAUGUGGCUCAAAGUCUAGCAAGCAUGUAUAUAUGGCUAUGGUAGAAAUUUAAACUCUCAUCAUACAGGAACUCAUCAUGUGUUAUUUUAAAGUUUUUUCAAAGAUAAAAUUCUCCAGAAUUCUAGCAUCUUUAGGAAUAGAUAAAUAGCAGCUCAACCUUCCAUAUCAUAUCCGUUAACAACUUAGACUUCAGAUCAAGUUCUCUUCCCACAAGUUUAGGAUUAGAGCAAGCUUUAAAUUAUAACAGUUAUGUCUAAACUUGAGAGAGAACUUCAAAUUUUAAAAAUUAGGCAGAGCAACUAUUCAUCAUAUCCAUGCUAGAGUUUUAUUAUUAAGAUUCAGUUUAGCAUAGUCACUUUAUUUAUUUAUUAAACACACUAAGCAAAAGAUAUAUAAGCACAAAAUCUUUAUUUGGUUUUCCAUAGUUAUGUAUAUUUAUAUAUAGUAUAAGUAUAAAGAUAGAUAGAAAUACUUAGCGAGAUAAAUGGGGGUGCUCUCCCCCAGGCUGAAUUUUGACGUAAUUUCUUCUGAUGUUGCUCACAGGUGGCAGAGGUGUAUUUGAAAGUCGGCAGUACCGUGACAGCGAUUAGAAUGUCCUCUCUCUGCUAGUCUUCUUGAUUCUUAAAUUCUGUGGAGCUCAAAUAGACAACAAAGCUUUGUGGAACUGAUUAAGUGUUAGCAUAAAUAUUUAGCCUUUAUCAUGUUGAGACUCCUUAAUAAAUAUUACUCUCUAUUUUAUAUUUUCGCUUUAUAAAGAAGAAGAGAAAUAUUUAUUUUAUUUUUAUGCCACCACAGUGAAUGUACUUAUGGGUUUUAUGCCACUCGUAUACUCACAUGAGGCUUACUAUUUUUUUACAUUUUUAUUUUCUUUUUAGAAUAGUAUGAACAUAAUUAACUAAGUAAACUAUUUUAAAUAUUUGAAAGGGAAAGGAUAACUACCAAGUUUACCUCUUGGCAAGGCGUUCGGUGUUUUUAAGUCCUCCGAAUAGGACUCUCUGUUUUCUUAGUUGUCCUGGGAUUCGUUGGCUGGCGUAGCCGGUGCUUCCGGCGGCGCCUCUUCUUCAUGUAUAGUUAUCUUCUCUCUCCACACCUAACUUGGUGCUACGGUCUCCUCAGGAUAGUUUUGUUCAAGUUGUAUAUAUUCAGACCUUACCACUUCUCCUUCAUAGUCAGCCCAUCCGUCCUUGAUGAUUUGCCUCCACUAGUUGCGAUUGCGUCGUCUUCUUCUUGUCCUGACCUGCUUAGAGUCUUCAACUAUAUAAUUAGGGUCAGUAAAAUAGCGGUGUACCUUCUCUGAGGGGAAGUGCAUGUGGACUUCUCUGGUUCCAAUGUAGAUGAUUGCUUUAACGGUGCUGAGGAAGGGUCUCCCAAGGAUGAUGGGUGGAUCGUACUCAUCUUCUCCCAUGUCAAUAACCAGAAAGUCUGUAUGGACAAAAUGAUCGUCUAUUUUGACAGGGACAUCAGUUGCUAUACCUUCAACCUUUUGGAAUGUCUGAUCUGCCAUGUGGAGCUGAAUGUUUGUUGGUUUUAGGGGAUGGUUCCGAAUAAGAGCCGAUAGGUCACUGCGGCCAUUAUGUUGACGCCCGAUCCGGUGUCGCAAAACGUCUUGUAGAAGUUGUACCCAUUGAUGGAGCAAUAGAUGCUGGCAUACCUGGGUCGUCCUUCUUGGUCAGGAACGGUGACUUAAGUCGAUGAUCUUGACCUCCAUGAACUGCAGUGACCAUCUUAGCUGACUCGGUCCACACUUGCUUGUUCCUGUUCCUCCUGUUGGUCCUCUUCCUUGGUUCACGUCAGGAUUGCUCUGGGAUGUGUGUAGUCUUGUUCUUGAAGGAAAAUGUCUCCUUUCUUCCUUUGAUGUAGAAACUGAUCUUAGCAGCACUAGCAUAGAUGACAGCUCCUGAGGUGUUUAAGAAUGGCCUCCCUAAGAUGAUGGGUGCCAUCUCAUCAUUAUAGGUCUCUAUCACCACAAAGUCUGCUGGGGCGUACAAGGUACCAACUCGGACACAGAGGUUUUUCAAUAUUCCCUUUGGAAAAGUUAAUGCCUGAUCUGCAAACUGCAAAUACAUGGUUGUUUCUAAUAAAGGAUGUGUAAAGAAUUUUUCAUAGAGUACCCUAGGCAUAAUGUUGACACUAGAGCCAAAGUCGCAGAGUGCUUCUAGGAAGUCCACCAUGCCGAUUGAGAUUAGGAUGACGGGGCGUCCUGGAUCGCCUCUCUUGACCGGCAGAAAGUCAAUAGUAACUUCAGUGACGGGGUUACUCUACCUGCAUCGAACAUGUCUACAAGAUUUGCAGAUUCUAAUCCUUCUGGUUAUGAUGGUAUACCGGGGUUAGUAGCAGGAAUAGCAGCAACUAUUUGAUUUAACUGAGAUUCAAUCAUUUUAUUAAAGCUAAUUUGAUUCUUCAUGGCAGUAGAGAAAUUAUCUAUUCUAUUAUUUAUAUUUUCUAGCAUUUUAUCAUUAGAUGCCAAUUUCUUAGAUAGGUUAUCCAUUAGCUUUCCUUGAUUAGACACUAACUCUCUCAGAGGUGGAAAAUUAUUAUUAUUGUUGUAAGAAUUGUUACCUUGAUAAUUACCUGAGUAGUUAGGCCUUUGUUGAUUCCAACCUUGAUUUUGUUGAGGACGGUUGUAGUAGUAGUAGUUGUUGUUGUUGAUGUAGUUCACAUCCUCGAGCAUCUCAGGGCAGUGAUUGCCUGAGUGUCUAGUAUCUCCACACUCCUCACAAGUCAUGUGAGAGUCGUAGAUGUGCAUAACUUCCUUCUUAUCUCCAGCUCGAUCAUCGAGCUUCUUCAUGAGCAGGUCUAGCUUGGCAGAUAGCAUGUCUACCUCCUUGAGCUGGUGCAUACCUCCACCUCUCUUGCGUGUCUGGGUCCUUUCUUCAUUCUAGCCUUGGUUGGAUGCCAUCUUCUCCACAAGAGUUGUGGCUUGUGAUAUGGUGAGUGAUAGGAAUGCUCUUCCAGCUCCAGCAUCCAUGGUCUCUCGGGCACUGUUGCCGAGCCCAUGAUAAAAUGUCUGCAUUAAUAGCCAACUCUCCAUUCCAUGAUGUGGACAUUCUUGGAUGUAGUCUUGGAAGCGCACCCAUGCUUCUAGAACGGAUUCAUCAUGUUGUUGCUGAAAACUUGUAAUCUUCCAACGGAGAGCAUUGGACUUGCCCAUGGGAAAGAACAUAGCUAGAAAGUUCGUGGAGCAGAGUGCCCACAUAGUAUUCUUCUCCUUUGUAGCGUAGAACCACUUCUUCGCUCUUCCUAACAGUGAGAAUGGGAAGAGGCGAAGUAGUAUAGCAUCUCUGGGGACUCCUGAUAUGGUGAAUGUGCUGCAAAUCUCCAAAAUGUGUUGGAGAUGAGCACUAGCAUCUUCGUGUGCCUUCCCACAGAACUGGUUGGAUUGCACCAUGUUGAUAAGUUCACGCUUGAGCUCAAAGUUACCAUCGAUCUCUGCAGCAGGUCCAGUGCGGAUGUUGUCCGUAGUGGGAGCUGAGAACUCGCGGAUCGAUUUGUUCGCCAUGGCUUCGAAUUCUGAAGACAAGUUCCGGUGAUCUUUUUGAUUGGAUGAAGCUUCGUGCCGAAGUGUUGAUGAUCUCUUCUUGAGCUUGGCUCUUGUUUUUCUAAAUAACGCUUCGGGAUUGUCAACAAAAUUUCCUAGAAGAUGUCUUCUAUUCAUACAUUACCCUGCAUAAGAUAAAAUAGAUAAAUAUCGGGGUAAAACUGUAUGAGAGAAUUGAUAAGCUCAAUUAUAUUAGUGAUGUGAAUGAUAACUCAAAAUUCUAUAUUCAUUCCUGAUUAGUAAUCAACCUUCUCCGGCAACGGCGCCAAAAAUGCUUGUUGGGUAUUCUUAACAUCAUUACCAAAAGUAGACUUAGUUUUCUAAUUCUGAUAAUAGCGCCAAAAAUGCCAAACCUAUCCCUCAUACCACUUAAGCCAAGUUGUCAUCCCCAGCAUGACAUGAGAGACGCGGUAUUGAAAUAUGCAAUUGCUCAUCUAAAUAAAUAAUGAAUGGGAUCUGCAAGCGCACACAUUAAUACCGAUGUAGCAUUUUAACCGGGAAGUAUUCCAGGUAUCGUUAUUUAUACUUUUACCACUGGGAAGGGAUUGCUAAACAUCAAUGUUGAUUAUAGAAUGAAAUAUAAGAUUGAGUAUCUAUCAUUGCAUGUAUAAUUGAGAACAUUUAUCUAACUCUUUCAUACAGAGAUAAGUGUCACAUAAAGGAUAUAUAAAGUAAUGAGUAGUGACAAAGAUAAUUAAUCUGAUUAGCAUAACUUAGCCACAUAUAAAUAUGAUAAGCACCUCAAUUAGAUAUUCUAGUAAGUCAUUAGCAUGGAAUUAGAACGAACUACAAGAAUAUUUCCUAAGUUAUUCUCAACUAUACAGUCUACCAUAUCAUAGUUAGUGCAAUUAUACUUAGCAAUCAUUGUGAGACAAGACUACGCCCAUGCAUAGUGACGUUAGCAAGGAAUAUGAGAAACAUCGUAAUCACUCCCCUGUAAUAAUGUUGCUCUGCCAGCCCAAUACACGGGAGGGGGACUAUAUAAGAAUCAAUGGAGCUGUCACUACCACGAACUACCCCGCGAUCUGGCAUAUAGGGUACAAUCGUAGAUAAAUACGGUAUAAGCACCACGCCUACAUAAUAUCUAUCAUUUACCCAUGGAUCCGAUGGAUAAAUGCUAUACGAUCCUAAAUAUGUAUAUAGAUCCAAUCUAACUAAGCCAAGUAUAUAACUAUGAUAAACUAAGAACAAUAUAAUUGCGAAUAUAAACAAGUAGAGCAAAGUCAUAAUCAAUAUAAUGAAGUAGAACAAAGUCAUAUUCAUAAUAUCGAAGAACAAAGAUGAACAAUUGAAGAAUAAUAGAGAAUUACCAAGAAUCCUCUUGACAGAUCCGGAAACCAAUCGAAGAUUGACUCCUUCUAGUUCUAAUCCUAUGUAGCUAUGCUAAUCUAGAUAUCUAAUUGAUGUGGUGGCUCUAGGCUUGAUCAGAGGCUUCUUCUCCCUUGAUGAAUAAUGAAAUAGGGUUGAGAGGUGCUCUCCUCCAGGGGCCAGGGGGUCUGGUUUUAUAGUCCUUCCAAGUGAAUAUAGGCCGUCGGAUCAAACCGAUAUUGAUUGAACGGUUAUCCUUGAUCCUUUAGGUCGGUGGAGCUUAAUCCCGAAAGAGAGUCCUGAUUGGACUCCAACAGGGGGCAGGCGCCCUGGUCCCUAGGGCGGGCGCCCUGGGCCAGGCUCCGUUCUGCAUCCGCUUCGUUCUCGUGGCUUCUGGAGUCUUCUAGAUGUAAGAUAAUUGCGCGGCACGUUAAUAUCUCUAUGUAAUCCCAACGUGUGGGCCUUUCUUCCAUAUUUCCUGAUAACCCCCUGCAGAAAUAGACAAACACCAAAACUCAUGGAAUUCUGUCAGAUAAAACCCUAAGUCUGGAUGCUGAUUUCAUUUGGAUCCUUUUCUUUGUUUAUUUGAUAAUUCAAUUUGAUACUUAAGGACCGUCAACAUUGUUGACACUAGCUAACACCACUUGAAUACUAGGUUGUCAUCCCCAGCAUGGUGCCAGAGUGUACAAAGGUAUUUAUAAAUGUAAAGGCUCUCUAGAAAAUAGUCUAUUAUAUCCGCAAGCGCACAGAUAAAACACCUCAUUGUAGCAUUUCACCAGGUAAGUAUUCCAAGUAUCGUUAUUUAUAAUUUUGCUCGAGAGAACAAGGGGUAAAAUUAAGAUAAGGAUUAAAUCUAUCAAGGCAUAGACUAGAGAUAAACUUGCAAGAACAUGAUAAACCAUAAAGAUAAUAAUAAUGAAUUAUAAGUUCAUGGGUAAAUAACACAGCGAUUAGAAAAUAGACAACUCCUCAUAUAUGUAAGGUGAUGUCGGAUUAGCUAGAGAAUGGUUUCUAAGUUACCUACUAUCUACUAAGUCACAAUCUACUCUAGUUAUCUACAAGAUCAUGUAUAGCAUAAAAGACUCUUCAUUCAUGUAUAAGGAACAUUGCUAAAGUAAAUCAGAACAUCGUGCCUGUCCUAUCAACGGAGGGUGGACUAUAUAAGAAUCAAUGAAGCUGUCACUAUCUCUCUAUAUGUUGUAUUUGUGGAUCCUUACCAAAAUGUCACUUUCCUAUAGCUAAUGGAAUAUUUAAGUGGAGCUCAUAGGAGUGAAAAACAGCUCAUACAUAUGUCGUCUAAUUGAGCCAUGGAUCCAAAGGAACUCAGCAUAUAAUUAAAUCAAGAUGUGCCUGUGUGGUGGAGUAAAUGAUAGUGAUGGUAAAAAUGUAUAAGUGAUAAGAAAACUUACUUCUCAUUGCUCCUCAUAUUGUUAUCUCUCCUCUUCUUUGAUCUUUGCUUUGGGAGAACAUGGGCUAUCUUUCUUUUUUUUCAGGUGGGUAGUAGACACCCCUAAUUCUACUAUCGGACACUUGUCCAUUUUUUCCGCUCAAGUGGGCAUCUUUGUACCCCUAAUUCUACUUCGGACACUUGUCCAUUAUUACCUCUCGUCUCACUCUUUCUCUUUCUUUUUCGAGGUUCCGGGCACUUGCCCCUUUUUAUUUCCUCGCAUAUUUUUGUAUAACCCAUGCCUCUUCUGCAUUGAAUCUUUUUGGAGAGAGAGAGAAUAACAACACUUAGGACAGUGAGUGAUAAUAUUUUUAGCAAUUUUAAUGAGUGGUGGUGGAGGGUGUAGUAGAUGUGUGCA